CAGCAGCCGCGGGAAUACGUAGGUCCCGAGCGUUGUCCAGAUUUAUUGGGCGUAAAGUGAGCGCAGGCGGUUAGAAAAGUCUGAAGUGAAAGGCAGUGGCUCAACCAUUGUAGGCUUUAGAAACUGUUUAACUUGAGUGCAGAAGGGGAGAGUGGAAUUCCAUGUGUAGCGGUGAAAUGCGUAGAUAUAUGGAGGAACACCGGUGGCGAAAGCGGCUCUCUGGCUUGUAACUGACGCUGAGGCUCGAAAGCGUGGGGAGCAAACAGGAUUAGAUACCCCCGUAGUCCCUGUCUCUUAUACC
rnacentral:rRNA from 1 species